GUAAAAUUAAAGUUUGCUGAAGUUAUCGGAGAACAUGCCAACCUGGACACAGGUAGUUUUUUCUGACAGAGAAGACGAUGAUGAUUGUAGAUUUUGUACUGCUGUCUACUGUAUACAUUAGGCUAUGGAUCACUCCUCUCGUUGAGAAACCAAAGAGACUGUCCUCAAGCCUCAAAGCCUAAUUUCUACAUUGUAGGAGCUGUCUUCCCCCUUGCUUGCCAGAAGGUCACGUGCGAGCGCAGUCACUAGUAAUCGAAAGGAAGGAGAGAGAAAAGAAGAAAAGAGA